rnacentral:lncRNA from 1 species
AUACAUUCUCAUUUUAUUUAUUAAAUCUUGUACCUUUAGACCUCAUGUUACUUCUAGGUAUGACAGAUGGAAGCAUGACAGCUGUCAUUCAGAAUGACUGAUGAAUGGAAAAACCAUUGACUGAAGAAUGAUGUAAAACUGAACAGGAUCUCCCUUUUCAUCACCCUUAAUGCUGCUUACUGAGAAUGUACCUUUGUAAGUACCACUAGGGACCAACCCUCCCAUAAAUGGCUAACUUUUCUUACAUUGGACAACAAGGAUGGAAGAUGUGGAAACUGCAUAAGGUAACAGGAAAUCUAUCCAGGAAGAACAGCCAACACCAACAAACCUGAUGAAGUACAGAUUAUGACCAUUUUUCAAGUAUUACGCAAAUUCAAAAUAUACAUGGUUCCAGGUACAGGGAGCAGCCCAAAAACUAUUUUUGUUAAAGAAAACCAAAUUUGUUUGAGAACAAGCAUGUUGGACUGA